ensembl:lncRNA
GCGGUGUAACCUACACUCUGACCUGUUAGGAUUGUUUAAGGGUCACAUCUCUGUGUGUCACAGGGUCUCCUGCGUAAUGGAGGGGCUUGGACUCAUGAUAUAGUUGUGACAGUAGUGAUGUAGGUUUGUGUGAUCAGUAACCCUGCCAAGGCCUGUAUGUAUCUACUGGAUUCUAGUCAUGUAUACAGUUGAAGUUGGAAGUUUACAUACACCUUGCUGCACCCUCGACAACUACUGUGAUUAUUAUUAUUAUUACAUUUGAACAAUUGAACAUCUUGGCCAUGUUCUGUUAUAAUCUCUACCCGGCACAGCCAGAAGAGGACUGGCCACCCCACAUAGCCUGGUUCCUCUCUAGGUUUAUAAUCUCCACCCGGCACAGCCAGAAGAGGACUGGCCACCCCACAUAGCCUGGUUCCUCUCUAGGUUUAUAAUCUCCACCCGGCACAGCCAGAAGAGGACUGGCCACGCCACAUAGCCUGGUUCCUCUCUACCCGGCACAGCCAGAAGAGGACUGGCCACGCCACAUAGCCUGGUUCCUCUCUACUCGGCACAGCCAGAAGAGGACUGGCCACCCCACAUAGCCUGGUUCCUCUCUAGGUUUAUAAUCUCCACCCGGCACAGCCAGAAGAGGACUGGCCACGCCUCAUAGCCUGGUUCCUCUCUAGGUUUAUAAUCUCCACCCGGCACAGCCAGAAGAGGACUGGCCACCCCACAUAGCCUGGUUCCUCUCUACCCG